UACGUAGGGCGCGAGCGUUGUCCGGAAUUAUUGGGCGUAAAGAGCUCGUAGGCGGCCUGUUGCGUCCGCUGUGAAAUCCCAGGGCUCAACCCUGGGCGUGCAGUGGAUACGGUGUGGCUAGAGUUCGGGAGAGGAGAGUGGAAUUCCCAGUGUAGAGGUGAAAUUCGUAGAUAUUGGGAAGAACACCGGUGGCGAAGGCGGCUCUCUGGACCGAUACUGACGCUGAGGCGCGAAAGCGUGGGGAGCAAACAGG
rnacentral:rRNA from 1 species